rnacentral:rRNA from 1 species
AUGGCCGCGACGUGGUCCUUCGGCCCUGCCUCACUGGGGCGUGGUCUUUCAGCGUCGAGCAACCUCAGCUGGGAGGCAUUGAGGGGCGCGUGGCUCUGGUGCUGCGCACUGGCGGCGGUAGUCGGCAUCGGCAUUAAUCUGAUGCUCUUGCAUAAGCGCCGGCAAGGACGUCUCAUCAUCGAUGAUGCUGUCUAUCGCCAGAGUCAACCGGGUUUGUCGAAUGCAGGCUCGUGCAAAAGCUUCUAUCCGAAAUUGUGGCAGUUACCAGUAGGUCACUUGCAGUUAGCUAGCAGCAUGGCUCCCGAUAACCAGGCCAUCAGGGGCAUUCCACACAACCCAAACUGCUCGCUCUGCUCGACAACGCCGAAAACGGCUGCUCACCUGCUGGCAGCCUACCCCUUCUCGGCAGAGGUUUGGAACUGCAUCAACAACAAGCUGGGACACCCGUUCUCCAUGCUACGGAUGGCGACACUAGCAACCACCAGGGGCCGAUCCCUCAAAGCAUCAUGGACAUGA